GGCAGAAGUCCAAACUUUGCAGUGCUCUUCCUUCAGAUAUUGGUUGAUGAGCCAGGAGAACAUGGUCAUUACUUCUGAACUGAAAAGCCAUGCAGUUGAGUUACUGCAUCAAUGUGGAAAAUCUAAGCUGACUCAGCAAUGAGAUCAUUCACUCUGUACUGCGCCCCUUUCAGAGGCGAUGAUGGUCUAGAAAUAUCUUAGUUCUGAAGAGAUAAAAUUGGGAUAAAAUGAAAUCAGGUUUGAAGAAGGUCAUCUACUUUCAGUGACAUUCUGAGGAAGCAUUUUUUAACCUUGGAGGUUGCUCUAUACCAGGAGUGAGGAGAAUAAAAGGAGCCUGGAAAC